rnacentral:rRNA from 1 species
UACGUAGGGUGCGAGCGUUGUCCGGAAUUAUUGGGCGUAAAGAGCUUGUAGGCGGUUUGUCGCGUCUGCUGUGAAAAUCCGGGGCUCAACCCCGGACUUGCAGUGGGUACGGGCAGACUAGAGUGUGGUAGGGGAGACUGGAAUUCCUGGUGUAGCGGUGGAAUGCGCAGAUAUCAGGAGGAACACCGAUGGCGAAGGCAGGUCUCUGGGCCACUACUGACGCUGAGAAGCGAAAGCGUGGGGAGCGAACCGG